rnacentral:misc_RNA from 1 species
CUGCAUUUGUCAUGGUUGCUGAAACUCCAUCUAGGUCAUGUUGGAGUUGGACAUGUCUUGUUUCAGUUGGAAUAAUGGGCAGCAGCAAGUCUAGACAUCAACUCCUUUAUAAUGGACGGGCAGCUGUUGGCCAGAUGGUCAAAUCCAUCAGUUGCCAUGACAUCAUUCAGCGACCCAGGAGACUUCUUGAGGAACUGAAAGCAUGCUUCCUUGAGCCCCUGGCAUUGGUGCUGCUCAGCAAGGGCCAGCGUGGUGGCCGCGGUACUGACGUCGAUGUGCCUGCACAAGAUGUCCUCGCAGACGAGUUUGAGCCUCUCCAUGCCAUACCUGUCGGCGGCGACGAGCAGGUGCUGAGCCAUAAGGGCCUCUUCUUCCUGGGGCUCGGACUUGGGCAGCGCGUCGGUGUAGAUGAAGUGCAGCAGGUUCCUGAACACGUCCGCCCUCAUCUCAUCUAUCUGCACCUCCCUGGCGGAAAGAGACGCCUCCUUCAUGGCGCCGAACAGCUGGGCCUGGAACACGGGCGACCUCACCGCGAGCACGCAGCGAUGCGCCGCGAACUCCUCCCCGUCCACCCGGAAGCGCACGUCGGCGCCCAGCUCGCUCCGCAGGAGUUCGCCCAAGUUCUGCGACAGGUCCGGCGGCGGAACGCGGACGAACGCGACGGAGGCGGCCGCGGCUCUGGCGGCGGCGUCCUCGGCGCGGAACUGGGUGACGACGCAGACGUCGCAGCGGACGCAGAAGGAGUCGUCCUUGAGGUGCCUCGACUUCUCCAGCGCUUCCCUCCGGAUGAAGGUGUUGAAGCCCCAGUACGAGCCGGGGGCGUUGAACCGGUUCACGGGGAGGGUCUUGGUGAGGGACGGCACCGGCUUGCCGGCACGGUCGAGAAGGCCGACGCUGAGCUGCGCGAGCGCGGGGGUGCGGUUGGCGGGUGCGUCCUCGAGAACGAGGUAGAGCGAGAUGUAGUCGGCCGUCUGCGCGCAGUCGCCGUUGGGGAGGUAAGCGAGGUGCCAGGAGUGGCCGCCGACGCGGAACGAGCAGGACUUGAGGUGGAUGCCGGUGGCGAGGCCCUUGGUGCGCGAGUAGCCGUCGAUCUUGAGCACGUGCGAGCCGACAGCGGUGGUGGCGAUGAUGGAGGACGAUGAAGACGAAACCUGGACCGUGGGCGAGGACAUCGACAUGGUUACCUGGCCGACGGUGGCGGAUGGAUUUGUUAAGGAGCGAGGGUUUGGGGGUGAAUCAAGGGUUUCCCUACCCUAAAAUUGAAAUAGUAAGGGUGGCCCUGCGAUGUGUGCCGCGGAGGGAGGGAGAGGGUCUCUCACCUUCACUCGUGAGCCGCCCGCCCGCCCGCCCGCCGGCCGGCUGCAUGCGUUCACGCCAUGCGUACGCCAGAUAUAG